CUGCCCUCAAGCACGGCUUGUGUGUUGGGCUCCGUCCUCCUUCCGGGGGACGGGCCCGAAAGGCAGCGGCGGCACCGCGUCCGGUCCUCGAGCGUAUGGGGCUUCGUCACCCGCUCUGUAGGCCCGGCCGGCGCUUGCCGACACAUCAAUCUUUUUUCCA
rnacentral:misc_RNA from 1 species